rnacentral:tRNA from 1 species
UUAAUUGAAACCAAAUCAGAGGUAUAUCACUGUUAAUGAUAUUAUUGAAACAAAUUUCCAAUUAAA